GAGCCGGGUGCUCCUCGACCAGCUCCCGAGGAGGAACACGGCCUGGGGUCUGGGCCGCCGCUUGGCGUCGCUGAAGCUGCCGCCGCCAGCUCCCCCAGUGGUGACACCAUCUGUAACUGUGGCUCGGUAUCAGAACCAGGUUGCUGACGCAGGUUUGAAUAACCACCACCGAAGUCAAGAUACAGAACUCUUCAUCCCCAUGAAGGAACUCCCUGUGCUAUCUUUGUAUGUUAACCCCCCCC